UUGCUUUCUGCUUAUUCGUAUUUCAAAUAUUAUGUCUACCACUACCCCGCUGGAAGUAAAUGGGCCGCAGAUGCUUAGUUUUAUGAUUAGGAUCGUAUUUUGCUUUUAUCAGUGUAGUCGACACUUUACUUAGAUUUAUGUAAUUAGAGAUUUUUCUUUUCGUCAUUGUUGAUUGGUGAAACUUAAUCAGUACGAUAAUUGGACAUCGACAAGAUUCUAGAAAAAGUGAACGAAACAUUCCUUUCUAUCGUCAUUGGAUUCUUUUUACAGCAAUUUAUAUAUGUUCUUGUAUUGGACAACCUUACAGUAGGAUAGAACUUAUUAUGGAUAUUGUUUAAUUAAAACUGGAAUUGAUGAAAUUACAGGUACAAAUAUCAAAUAUUACGUUUAGGCCCUAUAAAACUAUAUGUAAAAUUUAUUAAGUUAAGAAUUGUUGUCAAUAACCGUAAAUUGAAACAGGAAUUGAAACAGUGAAUUUUUUAAAAAUUAAAAUCCCUUUGAGACAAAAUUUUCCAGCAUUGCAAUAUCAGGGAUUAAGUUCUUGUCUUCCAAAAGCUAAGUUUAGUUGGAAAAACUUAAAUAUGA